rnacentral:rRNA from 1 species
AUUGAACGCUGGCGGCAUGCCUUACACAUGCAAGUCGAACGGUAACAGGUCUUCGGAUGCUGACGAGUGGCGAACGGGUGAGUAAUACAUCGGAACGUGCCCGAUCGUGGGGGAUAACGCAGCGAAAGCUGUGCUAAUACCGCAUACGAUCUACGGAUGAAAGCGGGGGAUCGCAAGACCCCGCGCGGACGGAGCGGCCGAUGGCAGAUUAGGUAGUUGGUGGGAUAAAAGCUUACCAAGCCGACGAUCUGUAGCUGGUCUGAGAGGACGACCAGCCAAACUGGGACUGAGACACGGCCCAGACUCCUACGGGAGGCAGCAGUGGGGAAUUUUGGACAAUGGGCGCAAGCCUGAUCCAGCCGUGCCGCGUGCAGGAUGAAGGCCUUCGGGUUGUAAACUGCUUUUGUACGGAACGAAAAAGUUCUCUCUAAUACAGGGGGCGAAUGACGGUACCGUAAGAAUAAGCACUGGCUAACUACGUGCCAGCCGCCGCAGUAAGAC